rnacentral:rRNA from 1 species
GAUGAACGCUGGCGGCGUGCCUAACACAUGCAAGUCGAGCGGAGAAUUGCUGCUUGCAACGAUUCUUAGCGGCGGACGGGUGAGUAACACGUGGGUAACCUGCCCUAAACAAAGGGAUAACAAUGAGAAAUCAUUGCUAAUACCGUAUAAGCUUACACUAUCGCAUGAUAGAGUAAGAAAAGAUUUAUCGGUUUAGGAGGGGCCCGCGUCUGAUUAGCUAGUUGGAGAGGUAACGGCUCACCAAGGCGACGAUCAGUAGCCGACCUGAGAGGGUGAUCGGCCACAUUGGGACUGAGACACGGCCCAAACUCCUACGGGAGGCAGCAGUGGGGAAUAUUGCACAAUGGAGGAAACUCUGAUGCAGCAACGCCGCGUGAAGGAAGAAGGUUUUCGGAUCGUAAACUUCUAUCUACAGGGAAGAAAAAAAUGACGGUACCUGAGUAAGAAGCCCCGGCUAACUACGUG